rnacentral:rRNA from 1 species
GUUGGGCACUCUAAGGGGACUGCCGGUGAUAAGCCGAGAGGAAGGUGGGGAUGACGUCAAGUCCUCAUGGCCCUUACGGGCUGGGCUACACACGUGCUACAAUGGUGGUGACAGUGGGCAGCGAGACCGCGAGGUCGAGCUAAUCUCCAAAAGCCAUCUCAGUUCGGAUUGCACUCUGCAACUCGAGUGCAUGAAGUUGGAAUCGCUAGUAAUCGCGGAUCAGCAUGCCGCGGUGAAUACGUUCCCGGGCCUUGUACACACCGCCCGUCACACCAUGGGAGUUGGUUUUACCCGAAGGUAGUGCGCUAACCCGCAAGGGAGGCAGCUAACCACGGUAGGGUCAGCGACUGGGGUGAAGUCGUAACAAGGUAGCCGUAGGGGAACCUGCGGCUGGAUCACCUCCUUU